rnacentral:rRNA from 1 species
CCUGGCGGCCUUAGCGCGGUGGUCCCACCUGACCCCAUGCCGAACUCAGAAGUGAAACGCCGUAGCGCCGAUGGUAGUGUGGGGUCUCCCCAUGCGAGAGUAGGGAACUCUCACCA